AAAGAGGUAUGCUGAAAAUCUUUAAAAGAGUAAGUA
rfam:Tenacibaculum sp. LPB0136, complete genome.